UAUUAAAAUUGGCGCCAUCUAAUAGAUCAAAGGCAAACGUAUGGCAGCAUCGUUUCGAGCGAUGGCGCUAUAACCUUUAGGUGGUGGCCAGUAUGAUGGCGCCACUUUUUGAUAUUUAACUUUAACACAUAUCAAUGAAAUAAUAGGGAUCAAAGUCAAAUGGCGUUCUAAAAGUUUUUAACGUGUGUCGAAAGAUGGCAGUAAAUGUACUGUGGCAAAACUAAAUUUUCUUCGACAGUACACCUCUAUUUCAAAUUCUCUUUGGUAAGCGUCACUCUAGUGGAAUACUCCUGAUCUGUGAUGAUGAUGACAAACUGGGAUUUUUUUGCGGAUACAAACAGGUUCUGUUUGAUUUACUCUGUGUCCAUUAGAUGACAAUUAUAAUUCAGUUAAAAGGUAAUUGGUCUUUCUAUCUGUACGUAUAAAAACAUUGGCAGCAUAGUUUGAAACAUCAUUCGAGUGUUAACUUCGAACGAACUCCAAGAUGAACAAGUUCUUCCUACUCGCCCUGCUGGCCUUCGUGGCUCUCGCCUCCGUCUCAGCCGAGGACGUCUCUGAAACCCUGAACCCAGUAGACUCCGUCGACGCCAACACCCUACCUGCCCAUGAACAGGACAAGCGCACCAUCUACUACGCUCCCGGCUACCGGUACUAUGGGGGCUUCCGCACGCUUGGCUACCCGUCCUAUCCCCUUGGGUACCCGUCUCUGACCUACCCGACAUAUCCUUACUAUGGAAGAUAUAUCAUUUGAAAAAAUCUGAUGUGUAAAGCAAAAUGGGAUGAAUAAAUUGACUUCUUUAAUAUUA